UGGGGAAUAUUGGACAAUGGGCGCAAGCCUGAUCCAGCAAUGCCGCGUGUGUGAAGAAGGCCUGCGGGUUGUAAAGCACUUUCAGUGGGGAGGAGAGGCUUCAGAUUAAUACUCUGGAGAAGAGACGUUACCCACAGAAGAAGCACCGGCUAACUCUGUGCCAGCAGCCGCGGUAAUACAGAGGGUGCAAGCGUUAAUCGGAAUUACUGGGCGUAAAGGGUGCGUAGGUGGUUCGAUAAGUUAGGUGUGAAAGUCCUGGGCUUAACCUGGGGAUUGCGCCUAAUACUGUUGGACUAGAGUACUGUAGAGGAAGGUAGAAUUUCCAGUGUAGCGGUGAAAUGCGUAGAUAUUGGAAGGAAUACCAGUGGCGAAGGCGACCUUCUGGACAGAUACUGACACUGAGGCACGAAAGCGUGGGGAGCAAACAGG
rnacentral:rRNA from 1 species